AUGAACGCUGGCGGCGUGCUUAACACAUGCAAGUCGUACGAGAACACUUCUGCUUGCAGAAGUAAGUAAAGUGGCGCACGGGUGAGUAACGCGUGGGUAAUCUACCCUCGAAUUGGGGAUAACAUUGCGAAAGCGAUGCUAAUACCGAAUAAUAUCCAAAUUUUUCCGAAUUUUUGGAUCAAAGAUGGCCUCUUCUUGAAAGCUAUUGUUUGAGGAUGAGCCCGCGUCCCAUUAGCUUGUUGGUAGGGUAAUGGCCUACCAAGGCAACGAUGGGUAGCUGGUCUGAGAGGAUGAUCAGCCACACUGGAACUGACACACGGUCCAGACUCCUACGGGAGGCAGCAGUGAGGAAUUUUGCGCAAUGGGGGAAACCCUGACGCAGCAACGCCGCGUGAGUGAUGAAGGCUUUCGGGUCGUAAAGCUCUGUCAAGUAGGAAGAAACUACAUUUGGCUAAUAUCCAUUUGUACUGACGGUACCACUAAAGGAAGCACCGGCUAACUCCGUGCCAGCAGCCGCGGUAACACGGGGGGUGCAAGCGUUACUCGGAAUCAUUGGGCGUAAAGGGCGCGCAGGCGGCCUGGUUAGUCAGAUGUGAAAGCCCGGGGCUCAACCCCGGAAGUGCAUUUGAUACUGCCAGGACUUGAGUAUGGGAGAGGAAAGUGGAAUUCCUGGUGUAGAGGUGAAAUUCGUAGAUUUCAGGAGGAACACCGGUGGCGAAG
rnacentral:rRNA from 1 species